GUGUUUGGGUGUGUACAUCUAUUUCUCUCAACAGGGGGUUGUUUUAGCAUGUAGCUGGCAUAUCCAAAAAAACGGCUCCCAGAAAGUCCUCAUGCUGCUGCUGCUGCUCCUCCUGGUGAUUGUAAGUAGUGAUGGUAAGUUUUGACAACAGCUGUUUUGACAAAUAAGGUAGAGAAUUUCCAACAGGGAGACUAGUCAAGUGAGAGAGAGGCCCUCCUGUGGAUUGUGUUGAUUGGGUAGGUCCAUUGACACCACCCUUCUUUACCAAGAGUGCUGACAACAGUCCAUUCUAUUUCUUUUAAAUUCAAGUCCACCUCCAGCACAAGAAUGAUGAUUAGUUAGUGUAUACAUCAGUUCAUGCGUCAGAAAAAGAGAAGAAAAAAGAAAAUUGCUGGAGCUUGGUACAUAGUGUAUCAAGAAUUAGAUAAUGCAUGGGUGAUGAGUGCCCAUACAUGAUGUAGGAAUGGAGUUAGUCUCCAUUGUAAGAUAACCCUCAUUGUCUUUGUCCCAGAAAUACAUUUUAAAUAAAUAAAAAUAGCUAAUGAGGAGAAUAAUAAAUGGGUGUGCAUUAAUUUGAGUUUGUCUUCAAUAGGUGCAACA
rnacentral:lncRNA from 1 species